rnacentral:rRNA from 1 species
GACAGAGGUGCCGAGCGUUAGGCGGAAUCACUGGGCUUAAAGCGUGUGUAGGCGGGCGGGCAAGUACCUUGUGAAAUCCCACGGCUCAACCGUGGAACUGCUGGGUAUACUGCCUGUCUUGAGCCAGCCAGGGGCAGUCGGAACAGACGGUGGAGCGGUGAAAUGCGUAGAUAUCGUCUGGAACGCCAAAGGUGAAAACAGACUGCUGGGGCUGUGCUGACGCUGAGGCACGAAAGCCAGGGGAGCGAACGGG